AGCGAACGCUGGCGGCAGGCCUAACACAUGCAAGUCGAACGAACCUUUCGGGGUUAGUGGCGGACGGGUGAGUAACACGUGGGAACGUGCCUUUAGGUUCGGAAUAACUCAGGGAAACUUGUGCUAAUACCGAAUGUGCCCUUCGGGGGAAAGAUUUAUCGCCUUUAGAGCGGCCCGCGUCUGAUUAGCUAGUUGGUUGAGGUAAUGGCUCACCAAGGCGACGAUCAGUAGCUGGUCUGAGAGGAUGAUCAGCCACAUUGGGACUGAGACACGGCCCAAACUCCUACGGGAGGCAGCAGUGGGGAAUUUUGCGCAAUGGGCGAAAGCCUGACGCAGCCAUGCCGCGUGAAUGAUGAAGGUCUUAGGAUUGUAAAAUUCUUUCACCGGGGACGAUAAUGACGGUACCCGGAGAAGAAGCCCCGGCUAACUUCG
rnacentral:rRNA from 1 species